rnacentral:rRNA from 1 species
GUAGGGAAUUUUCCGCAAUGGGCGAAAGCCUGACGGAGCAACGCCGCGUGAGGGAAGAAGGUUUUCGGAUCGUAAACCUCUGUCUUCAGGGACGAGAGAGGACGGUACCUGAGGAGGAAGCCACGGCUAACUACGUGCCAGCAGCCGCGGUAAUACGUAGGUGGCAAGCGUUGUCCGGAAUUACUGGGCGUAAAGGGCGUGUAGGCGGCCAUUUAAGUUGGAUGUGAAAGCCCUGGGCUUAACCCAGGAAUUGCAUUCAAAACUGGAUGGCUUGAGGAUCGGAGAGGGCAGUGGAAUUUCCAGUGUAGCGGUGAAAUGCGUAGAUAUUGGGAGGAACACCAGUGGCGAAGGCGACUGCCUGGACGACCCCUGACGCUGAGGCGCGAAAGCUAAGGUAGCAAACGGGAUUAGAUACCCUAGUAGUCC